ACAAUACUGUCCGCCAGAGAACUACAAGCUAAAAACUAGAAACUCCAAGGACUUGGCGGUGCUUUAUAUCAACCUAGAGGAGCCUGUCCUAUAAUCGAUACUCCACGUUAAACCUCACCAUCUUUUGCCACUCAGCCUAUAUACCGCCGUCGAAAGCCUACCUUAUGAAAGAAAAACAGUAAGCAAAACAGUUAACAACUAACACGUCAGGUCAAGGUGUAGCACAUAAGAUGGAAGAGAUGGGCUACAUUUUCUACCACAGAACACACGAAUGAAACAAUGAAACAUGUACCUAAAGGUGGAUUUAGUAGUAAGAUAAACAAGCAACAUUAUCUGAAAUAUGCUCUAAAGCGCGCACACACCG
rnacentral:rRNA from 1 species